CCUCCUCCUCCUCCUCCUCCUCCUCCUCCUCCUCUUCUUCUGGUACCAAAGACCUUUGGGUUUUGAUGCCAAAUGAGGUGGGGAAUGGAUCAUGCCUAAAAGUUGCCUUCAGAUGAGGUAGUUCUGAGACCAGAAUCUGGAUCUAAGCCAGUUUCCAUGUGGUUACCCUCAACUAGAGGAAUGUUUCAUGGAACCAAAUUACAUCCAUGGCCAAUGGUUUCACUCUUCACCAUCCCAGCUCAAGGUUGACUCAGUCUCCCAUCCAUCCGAGGUGGGUAAAAUGAAGAACCCAGAUUGUUGGGGGCAAUACAGGGGUGAAAUCUACUUACCUUCCCUACCGGUUCGGAAGUGCGUGCGGCAUUGUCAUGUAUGAUUUUUUACCCUCUGCGCAUGAACAGAAGGCUUUGCGCAUGCGCAGAGGAUUAAAAACCAGGAAGUAACAACAUCCAGGUGGGUGGGUGGAGCCUCAUGCUUCCUCCACUACCGGUUCGCCGAACCACACGCUGCCUCCACUACCAGUUCACACAAGCCGGACAGAACCGGCAGGAUUUCACCACUGGGGCAAUAGGCUGACUCUGUAAACCACUUAGAGAGCGCUGUAAAGCACUGUGAAGCAGUAUAUAAGUCUAAAUGCUAUUGCUAAGUGAUACAGCCAUUGCGUAAGUCCUCACAUGACCCCACAAAAGCACCCCACGAACCCCAAUGUCCAACCUGGACAUUGGUUAAAAGCUUAAAGGAGAGAGAAGAAACAAUAGGGCUUUCCAAGUGAUGGGAAACCACACCUUCACUGCCCCUCCUUAGAGAUGACCCUUUGGUAUGUCGUUGGCAGCCGAGCUUCUGUAGGAUAAGAAAGGAGCGAGCACACUCUUAAAACCUGUAGAAGCUGAGAGGAGCAUCUUAAGCUCUAAAGGUAAAGGUUUCCCCGGUCCAGUCAUGUCCGACUCUAGGGAGUGGUGCUCAUCUUUGUUUCUUAGCCAAGGGAGCCAGUGUUGUCCAAAGACACGUCUGCGGUCGUGUGACCAGUAUGGCUAUAGGCCAAGGCGCCCAGAACACUGUUACCUUCCCACCGAAGUGAUACCUAUUUAUCUACUUGCAUUUGCAUGCUUUCAAACUGCUAGGUGGGUAGGAGCUGGAGCAAGAACGGGAGCUCACCCCGUCACACAGCGCUCGGGUCUCGAACCCGGACUGUGAACUUUCCAGUUGACAAGCCCAGUGUAAUUGUCACAAUCACAAUUAUCUUUGCAAUACAUGCAUUGCUCACCAGAUGGCGCUGUCUGAUCGCUUUUAACAGAAGCUGCAGGUUAGGGAGGAUGCAUUUUUGAGAUCUCCUGGAGCUAACUUCCUCGGAGUUCGUGUGAUAUAAAACCAUCAAGCAUGUUGCAAUUUAUUUGGCCAGGAUGCCCGCAUUUCACUACAGUUAUUUUGCGUGAUUUCCAGCUUCUGAUGUCUCUGAUUUCUCUCUCUCCCUCUGUGUCUCUGUUUGUUUGCAGCCAUUGCCAAUUCCGAGCAGACCCCACUCCUAAUUCUCCAGCUGGUGUUUGAGUUUGGUUCUUUCUCUUUACUGGGCUAGCUUGUUGGAUUAAAGCAAUAUGACAACAAUGUGAACAGAAUACAAAGAGAGACCAGGCGGGGUGUGAUUAGAAUCAGAACUGACUCAACGCUCAUUUCAUUUAAUCGUCCUUCCUCACGGACUGCCACUAUUUAGCUUUUAUUUAGAGACACCACGGCAUCGGAGAUGCAGCUAAUGGCAGCAGAGAAACCCAAUAAAGAAAGAAACAUAUCAACAAAAGAGAUUAUUUAGCCAGGAGAGUUAAUUUUGCCCAUCUCUUUGGGUUAUAUCGUGGCUUGAAUCAUCGCAGCUUACGUCCGUUCAAACGCCUACAAUAACAAACCCAAGCUGAGACGUAGUAAGAUAUGACUUCUCACCCCGGGCUUCUUCCAUUAAUAUAACCUAGCUUCAUUGAAGCUGGUCUGAUCAAUACACGCCCCCCCACCCCACCCCAAAUGCCAACGUCUAUGCCUUGCCAUAACCAAUUAAACCCAUUGAUCUUUGAAGACCUUAGGGGCCAGCAGUGCUGUUCAGCUUGUUUUUGAGUGCGCUUUACUAUUCAUUAAACAUGAUGUAAAAAUCUA